CAGUCGCCGCGGUAAUACGGAGGGUGCAAGCGUUAAUCGGAAUUACUGGGCGUAAAGCGCACGCAGGCGGUCUGACAAGUCAGAUGUGAAAUCCCCGGGCUUAACCUGGGAACUGCAUUUGAAACUGUCAGGCUGGAGUCUUGUAGAGGGGGGUGGAAUUCCAGGUGUAGCGGUGAAAUGCGUAGAGAUCUGGAGGAAUACCGGUGGCGAAGGCGGCCUCCUGGACAAAGACUGACGCUCAGGUGCGAAAGCGUGGGGAGCAAACAGGAUUAGAUACCCCGGUAGUCCCUGUCUCUUAUAA
rnacentral:rRNA from 1 species